rnacentral:rRNA from 1 species
GACGAACGCUGGCGGCGUGCUUAACACAUGCAAGUCGAACGGGCCUUGUCCCCUUUUUUUUGGGGGUGGGGUUAGUGGCGAAUGGGUGAGUAACACGUGAGUAACCUGCCCCUCACUUCUGGAUAACCGCUUGAAAGGGUGGCUAAUACGGGGUGUUCUGGCCUGCUCGCAUGGGUGGGUUUGGAAAGAUUCGACCGGUUUUGGUUGUUUUGGUGGGGGAUGGGCUCGCGGCCUAUCAGCUUGUUGGUGGGGUGAUGGCCUGCCAAGGCUUUGACGGGUAGCCGGCCUGAGAGGGUGGGCGGUCACACUGGGACUGAGACACGGCCCAGACUCCUACGGGAGGCAGCAGUGGGGAAUAUUGCACAAUGGGCGCAAGCCUGAUGCAGCGACGCCGCGUGAGGGAUGGAGGCCUUCGGGUUGUGAACCUCUUUCGCCAGUGAAGAAGGUCCUGCUCUUUGUGGUGGGGUUGACGGUAGCUGGGUUAAUGAAGCGCCGGCUAACUACGUG